rnacentral:lncRNA from 1 species
GCUGAAAAUAUAAGGGAAAAUACACAUUUCAUAACUAAAAACAAGUUUUUAUGUCUAAAACAUUCAUUUAGGGUGAAAUUGUAGCUAAUCGAAUAAAAUAAAAAUAUUAAAUGAAAUAUUCCAUUUUCUUAUAAAACAAUAUUUAUAGAAAUCUGCGUAAAUAAUUUUGUAGCGUAAAAGCAAAAUAAAUUCAUACAUACAGUAACACAAAUAACCAAAGUAUGUAAUUUAAUUUGCAAUGACGUGUGGGCCGCCGAAUGACCAAAGGUAACAAAAGCUGUGGAUCUACAAUUUUUGAGGAGGCGAGUCCAAAAAUAACCCUCGAUGUAAUCAGCUAUUUAUUGACUGUCCUGAUCCUGGAAUGAGUGGAAAAGAGGGUGGUGAGUUUAUAUAAACUCAGUGAGUAAACAAACAUCAUCUAAAAUAUCUAAAGCUGAGUAAAUGGAGACAACUUAAAAUAGUUCAUCGUACUAUGAUUCAUAACGUUUCAAACUCAUUUCAACUAAAUAAGAUAAUUUCAUUUCACCAAAUAAUCAACAUGGCUUAUGAAUUUCUUAAAAAUUUGGCUCGAGCCAAAACUCAUUCUCGGGGAUACCUUGGUCGAGGCAUCCAACCGAGUCCGCCAAGGCUGUUAAAGAAAAGUUCAUCUACGCAUAAAACACAUUUUUAUGUUUAAGAGUAUAGCCGUUUCUUGGCAUUGGCUGAGUUCACCCUCACGUGGCGGUUUAACGUGUAGUGAACUCUAAAGCUUUACCUCAGGAGAUACCCUCUGCACCUCUUGUACCGAGGCAAAAUAUAACCGAGUUUACCGUGCCUUUCUCUAAUAGGCUGGUCCAUGGAAACCCGCCACUACAGUGACUAAUCAAUAUCCCACCAAAUCAAUAAAAAUUUCGACAACAUGACAUGACAAUUAUAUUACUACCUAGCCUAUUAAGGCAAAACAAACAAUUCAUACAAUUUCAAUACAAUUUCCAAUUCAGCCAUUCAUGCCAAUAUCACCAUAAGCCAUUCAAUUCAAACCAUAAAUUUACAAUACAAUUAAACAGUCUCCAAUUACUCAAUUUCUAAAAUCAUCAUUCAAUUUCAAAAUGAUUUAUAAAAAUCAUUUCAUUUAAUCACAGUUUACUUAUAAAACAUAAGGAUUUACCAUUUAAACUCAUUUUUCUAUAAAAUCACAAAAACGAAUAAAAACUACUUUAGAUAAUUAAGAUGAUAAUAAGGUUACUCACAAUAUUGGGAGUUGAAGUACUCCUAGUCCGGAUCUUCGGGUACAAUCUCCUUACCCUUAUCUGAAGUUUCACCACCUAAACAUAAUGCACAACAAGCAAUUUACUAUAUUUAUACUAAACCGUUAUAAAACUAAUUUAGGCUCUAUAUCAAUGCAUGAAAUGGGAUGCGAAAUGUUUAGAUUAUUAUCUAAAUAUGGUGUUCUACGUAGCUUCAAUUAUGUAUCGAAAUAAAAUGGUAUUGGCCUAAUUCGAUCUAUACACUAGUUAAUUGGCCAAUAUAUCCAAUUCAACUCCAAUUAACUUGAUUCCACUUCCAACACUCCAAGUCAUCAAUUACAAGUUAAAUUGUCAUGACCCGAUACUCCCCUCGAGCCCGUGACAACCAUCGCGAUAUCUCGGUAGACACUCAUUGCCCGAAAUGUUAACUCGAAACCCCGCAAGGCUUUACUAUCAGUUCCUCAUUUCCCUUGUGAGCAACCAUUGUCAAAUAUCGUGUUCUAAAAGAUUUUAAACUGUUUCCAACUAAAAAUAAAUAAAAUAUUAAUUUUUGUCUCAUAGGGGUAUUUUGGUCAUUUUUUCUCAAAAUUUUUGAAACUGGUUAAAACGUAAUAUACAAGUACAAAACACAUAAUUCA